UUGAUUCGUUUUGCUUGGUUACUCAGAGUGCGAGGCGCCGCGGGGGGCGAAGGCAGGUGUUUUGGGUCCCCGGGCGGGCGCCUGUUUCCGGGGGCGCCGGGCCGGCGCUCCCGGGGCGGUCCGCCGAGGCAACUUCGGUACGUUCACAGGGGUUUGGGAGUCGCGGGGACUCUGUAAUGAUCCCUCCGCUGGUUCACCAACGGAGA
rnacentral:misc_RNA from 1 species